CUACGGGAGGCAGCAGUGAGGAAUAUUGGUCAAUGGCCGGAAGGCUGAACCAGCCAAGCCGCGUGAAGGACGAAGGUGCCAAGCAUUGUAAACUUCUUUUGUCAAGGGACAAAAUCAGGCUCGAGAGCCUGACCGAGGGUACUUGAAGAAAAAGCAUCGGCUAACUCCGUGCCAGCAGCCGCGGUAAUACGGAGGAUGCGAGCGUUAUCCGGAUUUAUUGGGUUUAAAGGGUGCGUAGGCGGACUGUUAAGUCAGCGGUAAAAGCCCGGGGCUCAACCCCGGCGAGCCGUUGAAACUGGCUGUCU
rnacentral:rRNA from 1 species